rnacentral:rRNA from 1 species
UACGGAGGGUGCAAGCGUUUAUCCGGAUUCACUGGGUUUAAAGGGUGCGUAGGCGGACAGGUAAGUCAGUGGUGAAAUCUCUGGGCUUAACCCAGAAACUGCCGUUGAUACUAUUUGUCUUGAAUAUCCUGGAGGUAGGCGGAAUAUGUCAUGUAGCGGUGAAAUGCUUAGAUAUGACAUAGAACACCGAUAGCGAAGGCAGCUUACUACAGGAUGAUUGACGCUGAGGCACGAAAGCGUGGGGAGCAAACAGG